rnacentral:rRNA from 1 species
UGGGGAAUUUUGGACAAUGGGCGAAAGCCUGAUCCAGCAAUGCCGCGUGUGUGAAGAAGGCCUUCGGGUUGUAAAGCACUUUUGUCCGGAAAGAAAUCCUUGGCUCUAAUACAGUCGGGGGAUGACGGUACCGGAAGAAUAAGCACCGGCUAACUACGUGCCAGCAGCCGCGGUAAUACGUAGGGUGCAAGCGUUAAUCGGAAUUACUGGGCGUAAAGCGUGCGCAGGCGGUUUGCUAAGACCGAUGUGAAAUCCCCGGGCUCAACCUGGGAACUGCAUUGGUGACUGGCAGGCUAGAGUAUGGCAGAGGGGGGUAGAAUUCCACGUGUAGCAGUGAAAUGCGUAGAGAUGUGGAGGAAUACCGAUGGCGAAGGCAGCCCCCUGGGCCAAUACUGACGCUCAUGCACGAAAGCGUGGGGAGCAAACAGGAUUAGAUACCCUGGUAGUCCACGCCCUAAACGAUGUCAACUAGUUGUUGGGGAUUCAUUCCUUAGUAACGUAGCUAACGCGUGAAGUUGACCGCCUGGGGAGUACGGUCGCAAGAUUAAACUCAAAUGAAUUGACGGGGUCAUAGCUG